GACGAACGCUGGCGGCGUGCCUAAUACAUGCAAGUCGAACGCUGAAGGAGGAGCUAGCUCUUCUGGAUGAGUUGCGAACGGGUGAGUAACGCGUAGGUAACCUGCCUGGUAGCGGGGGAUAACUAUUGGAAACGAUAGCUAAUACCGCAUAAGAGUAGAUGUUGCAUGACAUUUACUUAAAAGGUGCAAUUGCAUCACUACCAGAUGGACCUGCGUUGUAUUAGCUAGUUGGUGGGGUAACGGCUUACCAAGGCGACGAUACAUAGCCGACCUGAGAGGGUGAUCGGCCACACUGGGACUGAGACACGGCCCAGACGCCUACGGGAGGCAGCAGUAGGGAAUCUUCGGCAAUGGACGGAAGUCUGACCGAGCAACGCCGCGGGAGUGAAGAAGGUUGUCGGAUCGUAAAGCUCUGUUGUAAGAGAAGAACGAGUGUGAGAGUGGAAAGUUCACACUGUGACGGUAGCUGACCAGAAAGGGACGGCUAACUACGUG
rnacentral:rRNA from 1 species